CGACGUCGCGAGAAGUCCACUGAACCUUAUCAUUUAGAGGAAGGAGAAGUCGUAACAAGGUUUCCGUAGGUGAACCUGCGGAAGGAUCAUUGUCGAUGCCUACAAAGCAGAACGACCAGCGAACCGUUUCUCAACACACGGGACACCGGAGGGGCGUUUAGCUGCCCGGUAUCCCCAAGCUUCGGAUGCUUGAGGGUGCGAUCCGCCCCCAGCAGAUGGAGCAUCAAACACACCCCGGCGUGCAAAGCGCCAAGGUACUACAACGGUAGGGCAAGCACCCGUACGCCUGGAAUCCGGCGCGUUCGGGUGUCUGUUCGGUGUCAUAAAUCUAAACGACUCUCGGCAACGGAUAUCUCGGCUCUCGCAUCGAUGAAGAACGUAGCGAAAUGCGAUACUUGGUGUGAAUUGCAGAAUCCCGUGAACCAUCGAGUCUUUGAACGCAAGUUGCGCCCGAAGCCUUGGCCGAGGGCACGCCUGCCUGGGUGUCACACAUCGCGUUGCCUCCAAAACCUUUCCCCCGUAACACUGUGGCGAUGGUUUGGACGCGGAAGAUGGCUUCCCGUGGCCGAGAGCCACGGAUGGCCGAAAAUUGUGCUAGGGAAGCGAAGCGCCACGGCGUUCGGUGGUCGGAACAGCCCUUGAGGCGUUGAAGCCCGUGGUAGCCGCGAGAGUCCCCAGCCCACGACCCUAAUCGUUAACCGACGCGACCUCAGGUCAGGCGGGGCUACCCGCUGAGUUUA
rnacentral:rRNA from 1 species